GUCUAUGUUCCUUUGGAACAGGACGUCAUAGAGGGUGAGAAUCCCGUUUGGCGAGGAUACCUUUUCUCUGUAAGACUUUUUCGAAGAGUCGAGUUGUUUGGGAAUGCAGCUCAAAGUGGGUGGUAAAUUCCAUCUAAAGCUAAAUAUUGGCGAGAGACCGAUAGCGAACAAGUACAGUGAUGGAAAGAUGAAAAGAACUUUGAAAAGAGAGUGAAAAAGUACGUGAAAUUGUUGAAAGGGAAGGGCAUUUGAUCAGACAUGGUGUUUUUUGCAUGCACUCGCCUCUCGUGGGCUUGGGCCUCUCAAAAAUUUCACUGGGCCAACAUCAGUUCUGGCAGCAGGAUAAAUCAUUAAGAAUGUAGCUACCUCGGUAGUGUUAUAGCUUAUUGGAAUACUGCUAGCUGGGAUUGAGGACUGCGCUUCGGCAAGGAUGUUGGCAUAAUGGUUAAAUGCCGCCCGUCUUGAAACACGGACCAAGGAGUCUAACGUCUAUGCGAGUGUUUGGGUGUAAAACCCGUACGCGUAAUGAAAGUGAACGUAGGUUGGGGCCUUCGGGUGCACAAUCGACCGACCUUGAUGUUUUCGGAUAGGUUUGAGUAAGAGCAUAGCUGUUGGGACCCGAAAGAUGGUGAACUAUGCCUGAAUAGGGUGAAGCCAGAGGAAACUCUGG
rnacentral:rRNA from 1 species